AUUACUCCUACGGGAGGCAGCAGUGGGGAAUCUUGCGCAAUGCACGAAAGUGUGACGCAGCAACGCCGCGUGAGGGAAGACGGCCUUCGGGUUGUAAACCUCUUUCAGUUGGGACGAGGCCUCGACGGUUAAUACCCGUCUGGGGUGACGGUACCUUCAGAAGAAGCCCCGGCUAACUACGUGCCAGCAGCCGCGGUAAUAAU
rnacentral:rRNA from 1 species